rnacentral:lncRNA from 1 species
ACUGCUUCUUGGUAACUGCAAUUUUACAUCUCAGGAAGGAAUUUUCCUGAACUUGAUAACUGCCUGAUUUCAUUGCAACUCUGCUAACAUUUUGAAACAGUAAGUUUCACUGCAUGUAGAGAGGCACUCGCAGUCAGCAUCACUUUUGGCUGUCAGUGUCAGACCCACCCCAGAGCUCUGCCCAGAACUCCCUUGAGGCUCCUCUGUGGCCUCCCUGGCUCCUCGUCCUCUCGGGCACCAUUUGUUUAGCCUCUGGGUUGCUAUGACAUCCCUCCAUCAAGUGCAGCUGGGAUCCGUGUUGGUGACGAGUUCUCUCAGGGCAGAGUGGCUGUGGGCUCACAUUGGACUCAGAGGGUCUUGUAGGAGAAGCGGCCACAAUGGAAGCAGCCCACGUGGAGAGUGGUGGCAUUCGAGCCCCUAGAGGUCAGGAGAGCCUGAUCAAUAGGCUGGGAACCCGGUCUGCAGACAGCCAGCGAGCAAGCGAGCGUGUGGGCCCGUGUGGGUGCUUUGCACUGGAACACUGCCCCUACCUAGGUGUGGAGACUGAUUGAUCAGAGCAGCCUCCUCAGCCACAGGAUUUUUGAUACCAGUUGAAUUCUUCGAGGAAAAUCAGCAUGUGGAGUUUGCGAUGGUCACAGCUUUUGCUAACAUACAAAAGGUACAGUGUUUCAGAGGCCAUGCCAAGAGUGAGAUAUCCCGUUCAUUCAGUUUGCUGUCGAACAGUCUUUGAGCCACAGGUUAUACUAGAACCCCAGAUAACCAAACCCAAGAUACACGCAAAAUCAUGUCUUUUAAAGACUUGUGUCUGCUUAGAUACAACGCGGCUCUGGGAGUCCCAGCCCACAGCGGCACCCAGCAUGUGUCUGUGUCUGCUUCUUAGCUGCUUUGUUCAGAACCUCCAUCGUGUGUGCUUGUUGUAAACGAAUCCAGCAGCCAUUUUGAUUAAUCUUUUUUUAAUGCUGUGGAAAUGAUCGGUUCAUUUCAUCGUAGUUGAAGUCUUUUCUUUUUUC